rnacentral:rRNA from 1 species
GAUGAACGCUAGCGGCAGGCUUAAUACAUGCAAGUCGUGGGGCAGCAGGGUUGUAGCAAUACAAUCGCUGGCGACCGGCAAACGGGUGCGUAACACGUACGCAACCUUCCCGUUACUGUGGCAUAGCCCAGGGAAACUUGGAUUAAUACCACAUAUUAUACUGGUGAGGCAUCUCAUUGAUAUCAAAGCUUCGGCGGUAACGGAUGGGCGUGCGGUUGAUUAGGUAGUUGGCAGGGUAACGGCCCACCAAGCCUACGAUCAAUAGCUGAUGUGAGAGCAUGAUCAGCCACGCGGGCACUGAGACACGGGCCCGACUCCUACGGGAGGCAGCAGUAAGGAAUAUUGGGCAAUGGACGAAAGUCUGACCCAGCCAUGCCGCGUGAAGGAUUAAGGUCCUCUGGAUUGUAAACUUCUUUUCUCUGAGGCGAAAACCAGCUAUACUUAGCUAUUUGACAGUACCAGAGGAAUAAGCACCGGCUAACUCCGUGCCAGCCGCCGCGGUAAGAC